rnacentral:lncRNA from 1 species
UGGGAACUCACUUCUGAGUUCCUGAAAUCACUUAAUUAUAGGCGAAUACACAUAAUACCUGAACAGCAUCACUGCACUAUUUUUGUCUUCCCUUCCAUGCUGACUUAUUCAUUAACAUUUGUGUAAACCAUCUGAACCAUAGAAUCCUUUUGGGAGGUCCUCCAGCUCAUCUCUUCUAUCUGUAGACCAACUUUUCCUCGAGCAUCUCUAACAAAACUCAGAGGCUCUCAUCUUCCCCACUGAAGAGUUGGUGCCCUUGAACUGAUGGAUUCAGCUGAUGUCAAAAUUGGAAACAAAUAUUAACGAAUAUUUAAUUCAAUCUCGGACAAACUUGACGUAUUGGAGAUUUUUAGCACGCACGCUCA